GUGGGGAAUUUUGGACAAUGGGCGAAAGCCUGAUCCAGCCAUGCCGCGUGUGUGAAGAAGGUCUUCGGAUUGUAAAGCACUUUAAGUUGGGAGGAAGGGCAGUAAGUUAAUACCUUGCUGUUUUGACGUUACCGACAGAAUAAGCACCGGCUAACUUCGUGCCAGCAGCCGCGGUAAUACGAAGGGUGCAAGCGUUAAUCGGAAUUACUGGGCGUAAAGCGCGCGUAGGUGGUUUUGUAAGUUGGAGGUGAAAUCCCCGGGCUCAACCUGGGAACUGCCUCCAAAACUGCAUGACUAGAGUACGGUAGAGGGUAGUGGAAUUUCCUGUGUAGCGGUGAAAUGCGUAGAUAUAGGAAGGAACACCAGUGGCGAAGGCGACUACCUGGACUGAUACUGACACUGAGGUGCGAAAGCGUGGGGAGCAAACAGGAUUAGAAACCCCUGUAGUCC
rnacentral:rRNA from 1 species